rnacentral:piRNA from 1 species
CAUAAAGCAUUUAGAGUUGGUCCCU